AUGUCGGCUAGCAGCCGCGCUCCGGCCAACCGCUGCGUCUGCAAGACGCCGUCGGGGAACCCGCUGCCGCGGCGGGGCCAGGUCAAGGAGAGCAUCGCCAAGCACAUCGCGGCGGCCGCCGUGGCCACGGCGUCGGCGCUCGUCUGCGACGCGGGCGGCAAGAAAGGCGGGGCCGCCAAACCGCCCGCCGCGCCCGCCGGCGCCAACAAAAAGAAAUGA
rnacentral:rRNA from 1 species